GCCCAGCGCAUAACCUCCCGGGCUACCAAGCCUGCGGCGGAAUGUUGCGUUAAGGGAAAGGUCGUUAUAAAGCCCUGCACUACAUGGCCUAAGCUUUGGCUUGAAUUUCCACUGUUAUCCUAACGGGUGCAACGGCUCCACAGAGGGUGUUAGACCCGUGUGGCCAUGUGGUUAAAUGUGCAUGGGUUCGGCUUUAUUCCCUGAGAGUCGCGUUGCUUGGACAUGCAGCGCUAAGCAGGUCGUAAACUCGACCUAAGGCUAAAUAUUUUCACAGAACCGAUAGUAAACAAGUACCGUGAGGGAAAGUUGAAAAGUACUCUGAAGAGAGAGUCAAAAGACCGUGAAACCGCUUAGAGUAUAAGCCAAUGGUAAACUGGAAGGCUGGAAAUAACGGACGGGACAUUCCUGAUUGAGGGAGGUGUACUGGAAGUUAACGUUUGUUCAAAGGUCAUGAAGGCAUGGAGGGGAUUCUACGGAUGGAAAAGUGGCAUUGGGUUGAUAACACGCCGACAAUACCUUGCGGGUAACUGACAGUGGUAACAGGGAACGUUCUAAUGAGGAACCGAACCGAGGCUGUACUUUUGCAAGUUCCAGCUUUGAGGCCCAAUAACGAGUUUUUUAACACAGCUGCACCGCGAUCCUUUAUAAGGUCACCCUCGCGAGGUGAAGAAGAGAGUGUGGAGUGUCAAGCCCACUCUCUUUUCUCAUAUGAGCCGUGCGUGUCUAUGCCUGUGGUUUUAUGUGUGUGAGCAUUUAUUUGCUGCAUGCUCCUUCGCUCAUGCUCCUCCUCAUGUGUGAGUGUGUUGUGUUUGACCCGGGGUCGGCCGGCUUCUUUACCGAUCCAGACGCGAGUGGUAUGAUCCUAAGUGAAGAUUGUUUUCUGAAAGGCCUUAUCCCCGAAGAGUGGUUCAAACAGAGCGCUCGACCAUCUCAUGUGGAUGCAGACCUUAGUACCUAAACUCUCGUGAAGUCUUUACCUUGUGCGUUGGUGGGUGAAUUAAUAUAGGGGCGAAGAUUUCCACGGGUCUCCUGGAUACGCCUCAGCCCCAUUUCAACCGCUUGUGAGAAUGGGAGAACCGGGAAGUCUCGGGUGCAUGGGGGGCGGCUAUUUGGUGUACUAUUCCAGAGCCAUUGGUCACGUCUCGAAACACGGGCCAAGGAGCAUAGCAUGUGCGCAAGUCUAAGGGAUAAGAAAUCCUGGAGGCAAAGUGAAAGCAAAUGGUGUGUUUGUGUCGAGCUUUCGCGGUUCGAUGCAUUCAGCUUGCAAUGAGCGUAAUUCUCGAGAGAUUUAUUUUUCGGAUGACUGCGUCAUGCGGCUUAAACCGAGUUGAUCCGUCGCAAUAAAGCCUUCAUGGCGAUGCGARGGCGCAAACUCCAGGCUCUCUGUAUAAGGGUAUUCGUAUUCUUGAGAGCACUGUGUAGCGUGCAUGCUAUAACCCGAAAGAUAGUGAACUAUGCCUGGCGAGGG
rnacentral:rRNA from 1 species